rnacentral:SRP_RNA from 1 species
CUAUGCUAGACGGGGAGCUAGCGGUGCCCUGUACCCGCAAUCCGCUAUAGCGGGGUUGAAUCCCUCUCCCAGGCCCGGCCUGUGUGCCGCUGCCCUCACAGGGUGGUAUAGAAAGUCGGGUCCCUCGCGACGAAGGUCUGUGAACCCCGCCAGGUCCGGAAGGAAGCAACGGUAAGCGGAACCCUUUGGGUGCCGAGGGAGGGCCUAACUGGAGCCAACCUUAAGGACAUGCUCAAAGACCGUUGUCGAGGAGAGGUGCAUAG